GACGAACGCUGGCGGCGUGCCUAAUACAUGCAAGUAGAACGCAGUUGCGAACGGGUGAGUAACGCGUAGGUAACUGCCUGGUAGCGGGGGAUAAAUAUUGGAAACGAUAGCUAAUACCGCAUACUACCAGAUGGACCUGCGUUGUAUUAGCUAGUUGGUGGGGUAACGGCUCACCAAGGCAACGACACAUAGCCGACCUGAGAGGGUUAUCGGCCAAACUGGGACUGAGGCACGGCCCAGAAUCCUCCGGGAGGCAGCAGUAGGGAAUCGUCGGCAAUGGACGGAAGUCGGACCGGGCAACGCCUCGUGAGUGAAGAAGGUUUUCGGAUCGUAAAGCUCUUUUGUAAGCCAAGCGGUAUCUUACCAGAAAGGGACGGCUAACUACGUGCCAGCCGCCGCGGUCCUAC
rnacentral:rRNA from 1 species